GUUGUGAUUGGUCCAUCCAAUCCUCCCACGGAUCGAGCAUCCAGACCGUUCGCUCCUCUUGAUCCAAUGGCUAGCACACCCCUGCCCCCCUCCCUCGUCUUCUUCCACCUACCGUCGACUUCUCUCCAGAUCUUUCCCCAACAGCUGCCACAUCUCCAGAUCCUUCCCCAACCACCCUCCGAGCCGCUCACCCCUAGCUGCUACUUUCUUUCCCCAAUUACUCCACCACGUCGUCUGAAGAUGGAGGAAGCACAGACCGAGGCAGCAACAGCUCAGCGACGAUCCAGACCUCCCCCUAUCCAUCCGGUGGUGCCGCGUUGAGCCACCGAGCGGGCCACAUCAAGGCGUCUAGUGGAGUCGCGCCGCAGUGGCUGAGGGGCUGCGCCCAGUCGCCGUCGGGCCCAAGCCGCAAGGGGAUGCGCCGUGCCCCUUCUUCGCCGAGGGGCCCGUGUCCGUCGCAUACGCCGUCCUCGCCAUUGUCUUCUCAAUCGACCUCGACAGGCUGUGAGCCGCAUGCCCCACCAGGUCCCUCCCUCCCUACCUUUUACUACUUUUGACUUUUUUUCAGGCUUCCCUAAGGAUUGUCGACGCGCAGACAAUGUCGAGCAUGUGUUGAGGCGAGAUGCUGGUUCUCCCUCCGAUGAGCAUGGAUCUGGGCGAUAUGGUGGAGGAUAUGGCAUCUCCCUUCGACGCCGUCGGAGAAGAUGGCUAGAUCUACGUCCAGAAGGGUAUGUGAAUGUGCAGCAUAAAGUCUUGUUGUCCAAAAAUUGUUAGUAGCACAAAUUUGUUGUCCGGAAUGGUGUUGGAGCGUUCUCGUCGGUCAAGAUCGGCUACAAAAAAAUAUUAUUUGUUGUCCGUCGAGUGCCGAGCAGGGUGGUGGCUACAAAGUAGGAUAGUGUGUUCUAAGCUCGGAGAAUCUCCGGGACUUUGUUUGUAGAUUGGAUUUCUAGCGUUUUGCUCCUCGUGUAUUGGCUGAAAAUAUAUGUAAUUUUAAGUUUUUUGUGAUGUUUUUUUCUUUUAUGUAAAAUGUUAUUUUCUAGUGUGUUUGUGUAAAAUUUAUAUGGGCUAUAAAUUUUGAUAUACCAAUUGAAACAUGA
rnacentral:rRNA from 1 species